AGUUUCAGCUUCUCUACUGCUGUAUUUGGUAAGCAUCCUCCAGUAGAGCAACAGGAUUGAAGUGUGCAGGAGCUGGAUAAUACCCAACUUGGGGCAUUAUGAUCUUGUGUGCAUAUAACAGCAAAGGACCCAGAUCCGCCCCAAUACUCCAGGUUAUGUCCUGUCUCAUGGACUACUACAGAAGCACUAAAACCGUCGCACACAAAGGCACCACGGGACUCCCACCAUCACCAGAGCUCUCCGCCUGCCUCUGGCGCUAGCUGUCAGAACCGCUUCAGCUGAAAUCAAGUUCUUUAGAUUUAUGCAGUAGCCAUGUUUGUCAAAGUAUUUGGCUCUGGUGACAUCAUCUUUGUUGAAACGCCGGACAGCAUGAUGAGUCCCAGAUGUUAAUGCACACUGAGAGUCGAGAAAGAAUAAAAUCCAAAGAUCAACACUAACAGCUCUGGAGGUAAUGAAAGGUGAUUUUAUUUUCUUCUAGUGUUCAAAUAUAAUUAUUUGUAUUUGUUUGAUGUUUGUUUGCAUAAAUAAUCAGUCAGGGACUGAAAACUCUGCAUGUGCAGUACAAGGAGAGACUAAGAUGAGAAUUUGGGUGAAUGCUGAAUGAAGGAUUUGAGUUCGUGAUUGCACUAAUUCCUUUGUGUUGUUUUCUCAAUCUUUUACAUUUUGCAUGAGUAGGUUAUAAUAUAUGCAGAAUAUGUGUACUGAGAACCAAAUGUGCCUCUAACUGAACUGCCAGGAUUUAACGUGUCUUUUGGAUAAUGGUCAUGCAUGGUUAUGUCAGCACAUCAUGUUUUCUAACGUGCUAUAACAUGACAUGCCCACGUAACCGAGAGUUACGUUUCCUAAUGACAUAUCAUUUCUGCAAAAUGCAAAAGGGAUGUGACUUGCUAUGAAUCAGGCUUGAAAAUGAAAAAAAAUAUAUUUUAUAAUACAAUUCCUCUGUGCGCAAUUUUUCUGUUUCCAAAAGUAGUUUUCAUGAAAGUAUGUUUUAGCUGCUUUGAGGGGAAAAACAAUCAUAACAGUACAUAACCAUUGUUUCCUGUUAACUGCG
rnacentral:lncRNA from 1 species